UACGUAGGGUGCAAGCGUUGUCCGGAAUUAUUGGGCGUAAAGAGCUCGUAGGCGGUCUGUCGCGUCGAAUGUGAAAACCCGGGGCUCAACCCCGGGCCUGCAUUCGAUACGGGCAGACUAGAGUUCGGUAGGGGAGUCUGGAAUUCCUGGUGUAGCGGUGAAAUGCGCAGAUAUCAGGAAGAACACCGGUGGCGCAAGCGGAUUGCUGGGCCAUAACUGACACUGAGGAACGAAAGCUAGGGGAGCGAAUGGG
rnacentral:rRNA from 1 species